rnacentral:rRNA from 1 species
CCUUUACACUGUACGAAAGUGCGAUACGGGGACUCCGAGUGUGAAGGCAUAGAGCCUUCACUUUUGUACACCGUAAGGUGGUGUACGAAUAAGGACUGGGCAAGACCGGUGCCAGCCGCCGCGGUAAUACCGGCAGUCCGAGUGAUGGCCGAUAUUAUUGGGCCUAAAGCGUCCGUAGCUGGCUACACAAGUCCGUUGGGAAAUCUGCCCGCUUACCGGGCAGGCGUCCAGCGGAAACUGUCUAGCUUGGGACCGGAAGACCUGAGGGGUACGUCUGGGGUAGGAGUGAAAUCCCGUAAUCCUGGACGGACCGCCGGUGGCGAAAGCGCCUCAGGAGAACGGAUCCGACAGUCAGGGACGAAAGCUAGGGUCUCGAACCGGAUUAGAUACCCCCGUAGUCC